CCCGGCGACCGGCGCACGGGUGAGUAACACGUAUGAAACCUGCCCGUAGCAGGGGGAUAAGCGGAAGAAAUUCCGUCUAAUACCGCGUAACAACCCAUGGAGGCAUCUCUGUGGGUUUAAAGGGAGCGAUUCCGGCUACGGAUGGUCAUGCGUCGCAUUAGCUUGUUGGCGGGGUAACGGCCCACCAAGGCGACGAUGCGUAGGGGUUCUGAGAGGAAGGUCCCCCACACUGGUACUGAGACACGGACCAGACUCCUACGGGAGGCAGCAG
rnacentral:rRNA from 1 species